UACUCGAGUGGCGAACGGGUGAGUAACACGUGGGUGAUCUGCCCUGCACUUCGGGAUAAGCCUGGGAAACUGGGUCUAAUACCGGAUAGGAGCCAUUUUUAGUGUGAUGGUUGGAAAGUUUUUUCGGUGUAGGAUGAGCUCGCGGCCUAUCAGCUUGUUGGUGGGGUAAUGGCUACCAAGGCGGCGACGGGUAGCCGGCCUGAGAGGGUGUACGGCCACAUUGGGACUGAGAUACGGCCCAG
rnacentral:rRNA from 1 species